GUUUUAAUAAUUUAACAAAAAUAUUGGCCUUGUAAACCAAAAAUAAGAAUUCACCUUUUAGAACA
rnacentral:tRNA from 1 species